rnacentral:tRNA from 1 species
GCUGACGUAGCUCAGGGGUAGAGCACUUCCUUGGUAAGGAAGAGGUCGUGGGUUCAAAUCCCAUCGUUAGCU